AUUUUAGAAUGUGAUUUAGAGUCAGAAGCAGAUCCAGGAGUGAUGAGAGGAUUAUUCCUGUCUGUAAAGGAACAGAGAGAACAAACAAGCAUUAGUUCACUAGAACCACUUUCUAUGCUCAAACCAUAACAGUGACCCGUUCUGUUUUGAUCAUUAAAAGUAACACAGCUGAAAGGGAAGAAGAUGAAAGUCAUCUGAAAUAAACCUGCAUGUUUUAAAGCAACCCUUACUUGUUCUGAAUUGUAAAUAUUGUAUAAAAAUACAGUGAACUAGAGGUUUUCCAGAACAGUGUUCUAUAGCAGACUGAACAUGUGAGGUUCUAAUGACAUGAUUUUAAUCAGAACGGGUUCUGAUCUAAAGUGGGCUGGUCUGAGGCCUCAAACUCCAGGACUGAAAAUGAAUCCCACUGCUCAAACUAAGUGGAUUUGACUGUGAUCUCUGCCUGUUUCCCUGUCAGUACCAUCAGUGAUGAAAGCGUUAAAAAGCCUCAAUCUCCUCCAGUCUGUUGACUUUAAUCAUCAGGUUGAUCAGAGAACAGACAGCUGCCUCACUGGAACGUUAGUAGCUGUGACUUGUAGAGGACUGGGAUGUUUCUUCCACUUUCUACAGUCUGCUGCCUGAACUGAGCUCAGAAACACACUAUGUUGAUGUGAGCCACUAGUUUUAUUAGUGUCUGCAUGGAACCAACAGCUGAUGGUCAAGUCAGAGAGAUUCAGUACGGUUCACAAACAUUCACACAGCAUUUAUUAAACGAUAACUUUGGAUGGAGUUUCAGUCUGGAUGAGGUGGAGUCCUGACUGGUUCCAGGAAACAGAUCACCUGUCUGAGCGUCCAGGAGUGGACUGGAAACUUUCUUCUUCUUCUUCAGCGCUUUGAAUAAAGUGUAAGUUUGCUUUGUUUGCUGCUUUAACUUCAGUAAUGUUGCUGUUUGUUUCUGCUCUGUCAUGUUUCUACAUGUUCACUUCUUAUUUCAGCACAAACUGUGGAUGACUGCUGUUUAAACAUGGAUCAAUAUGAUUAUUAGCUUAUUGAUUGACUGCAAUCAGUCAAUAUUUCUCUGAGAUUUUUGAUGGACUUGAGUCAGUUUGAUGAGCUGCUGAUGUUUCUUUGUUGUUUUGUCUUUCUGACUUUGGGUUUGUGGGUGAGUCUCUGCAGCUCCAUGACUCCAUCUGCUGGACUGAUAGUAGAAGUGCAGCAGCUGAUCUUCUCCAGGAGGAUCUGAGUGGAUGAAUGAUGUUUGUUUCCUGUGCAGGUGAAGGUAGAAAGUGUGUGUGAACUGCUGUGAGUUGAGCAUCAUGGAUGAGUGUGAGGACAGAGAGGAGGGAGUCCCUCCCUCUAAAAGCUCUCUGUGUGGGGAACAGGAGAACCAGAGCAAAGCUCAGAGGUGAGAGCACCAUCUCUAACUGUCCAGGACUCUGCUGCAUGUCAGAGCUCAGCAUCACAUCACUGCUGCAUCAUUAUUGACAGGAAUCCACCUGGACCUGGACCUGGACCUGGACCUGGACCUGGACCUGGACCUGGACGUCCACCUCCAUACAGCUGUGUGUCCUUCAAGAGUGACCGGUCUAAUCAUCGCCUCAUUAACUUUAAAGAUCAUCAACCUCCUGCUGCAGAGAAGUUUUGUCCUUCCUGGUGGUCUUCCUCUCUAUUUGCCAGAAUCCAUCAGAGACCAGAGUCCCCUGGACCUGGACCUGCAUCCAGCUGUGUGUCCUUCAAGAGUGACCGGUCUAUGGGUCUUCCUAUUAGAUUUAAAGGAGAACCAGGUCCUGCUACAGAGAGGUAAGAUGUUCAGAACAAGG